CUUCAAAAUAUAGAAGGGCAAACUCGCAACAAAAAGAAAUAAAAGUCGUCUUGGCCAGAGUUGGUGGGGAAGGAUGGGGAGGAAGCAGUGAAGAUAAUCCAA